UAAAGAAUUUCGGUUAUCGAUGGGGAUGCGUUCCAUUAGUUAGUUGGCGGGGUAACGGCCCACCAAGACGACGAUGGAUAGGGGUUCUGAGAGGAAGGUCCCCCACAUUGGAACUGAGACACGGUCCAAACUCCUACGGGAGGCAGCAGUGAGGAAUAUUGGUCAAUGGACGAGAGUCUGAACCAGCCAAGUAGCGUGAAGGAUGACUGCCCUAUGGGUUGUAAACUUCUUUUAUAUGGGAAUAAAACAGGGUAUGCAUACCCUCUUGUAUGUACCAUAUGAAUAAGGAUCGGCUAACUCCGUGCCAGCAGCCGCGGUAAUACGGAGGAUCCGAGCGUUAUCCGGAUUUAUUGGGUUUAAAGGGAGCGUAGGUGGAUUGUUAAGUCAGUUGUGAAAGUUUGCGGCUCAACCGUAAAAUUGCAGUUGAAACUGGCAGUCUUGAGUACAGUAGAGGUGGGCGGAAUUCGUGGUGUAGCGGUGAAAUGCUUAGAUAUCACGAAGAACUCCGAUUGCGAAGGCAGCUCACUGGACUGCAACUGACACUGAUGCUCGAAAGUGUGGGUAUCAAACAGGAUUAGAUACCCUGGUAGUCCACACAGUAAACGAUGAAUACUCG
rnacentral:rRNA from 1 species